AUUGAACGCUGGCGGCAUGCCUUACACAUGCAAGUCGAGCGGCAGCGCGGGGGCAACCCUGGCGGCGAGCGGCGGACGGGUGAGUAAUGCAUCGGAACGUAUCCUCUUGUGGGGGAUAACCAGUCGAAAGACUGGCUAAUACCGCAUGAGCUCGUAAGAGGAAAGCAGGGGACCCGCAAGGGCCUUGCGCGAGAGGAGCGGCCGAUGCCCGAUUAGCAGUUGGUGGGGUAAAAGCCCACCAAGGCGACGAUCGGUAGCUGGUCUGAGAGGACGACCAGCCACACUGGGACUGNGACACGGCCAGACUCCUACGGGAGGCAGCAGUGGGAAUUUGGACAAU
rnacentral:rRNA from 1 species